rnacentral:misc_RNA from 1 species
GAAAUGCGAUAAGUAAUGUGAAUUGCAGAAUUCAGUGAAUCAUCGAAUCUUUGAACGCGCAUUGCGCCCGCCAGCAUUCUGGCGGGCAUGCCUGUUCGAGCGUCAUUUCAACCCUCGAGCCCCCCCGGGGGCCUCGGUGUUGGGGGACGGCACACCAGCCGCCCCCGAAAUGCAGUGGCGACCCCGCCGCAGCCUCCCCUGCGUAGUAGCACACACCUCGCACCGGAGCGCGGAGGCGGUCACGCCGUAAAACGCCCAACUUUCUUAGAGUUGACCUCGGAUCAGGUAGGAAUACCCGCUGAACUUAAGC